AUAGGAAGAUUCUGUCACAGACUAUGUGCCUCCUCCAAAUGCAUGCUCCAUUCUCUCUCUGGAAUGGGCUUCUCCCCUUCCUGCUCUAUAGACAUUCUACUUAUCCUUUAUCCUUCAGAGCACGUCCAAAUGCCUCUUCCCUAAUCCCCACCUUCCCCUGGCCCUAGCAGAAUCAGUUGCUCCCACUGGCCUUUGUUUGCACUUCCAUUACAACAUUGAUCCCUCUGGAUUACAAAUCAUUGUGUGUGCUGUCUUUCCCACAAGAUGACCAGCUCCUUGAGGACAGGGAGUCCGUUACUUAUUUGAGGGUUCCCAAAGCCUAGCUAGAAUAGCCUGCUACAGAGUAGACAUUUCAGUGUAUGUUGCUGAAUUCUACUGAAAGGAUUUGCAGAAACUCAAGGUAUUGAUUUUCGACAACUGUUCACUUUGGUGUGUAAAACAGACGAAGAAAAUGAAGGAAAGAGGAUUCGAAUCCGGAAGUCUCCUAUCCCAUUAUUCUACAAGAAGGAGUGUUGGUGAUUGCACUGAAAUGCCAUUUUUAAAGAAAGAAGGGCUUCUGGACUGAAAACUGGGGCAAUGUAGGAACUGUAACCACAUAAUAGCUGCUGGUCAGUGCGUCCAUCCAAAUGGAACAAAGUACAAAAGCCACCCUGUCCCCAAAGUAAGCUUUGGAGGUGCCAGAGAAAUGAUAAGAAAAUGGCCUGUGCUCAACAAACUGCAAUUGGGAAAUGGCACUUGAAGAUCCUCUCCCACAUUUUCUCCCAGGCUUGCAUGACAUGGUAAGGAACCUCCACUUGCCAUUCUUCCUCCUGCUAAAGAAAUGGAUGUUUCCCACCACUGACUAUGAGGUCUACCCCUCCUCUCCAAUAGGGUGAGGCAGUCCACAGACCCUGGGCACCCAUCUCCGAAGGCUCAAUAUUCCUAAAUCAACCCUUUAGCAAUGUUAUUUAUUUAUUACUAACUGGGAAACAGCCUUUGGAGAGACAGAAAUAGACAGGUGCAAAGGAAAAACAACAGUUUGUUCUAUGUUUUGUUCUGUCAGCAUUUAUACUUAAUUUUACCAGUCCAAAUGGUGGUAACUUUUCUAAUGGACAAAGAAAAUUUAUUUCUCCUGCUAGUUUGAUUUUUAACUGGGAAAAUAAAGAACC